GAACGCACCUUGCGCCCUUUGGUAUUCCAUGGGGCAUGCCUGUUCGAGCGUCAUUUGUACCUUCAAGCCUUGCUUGGUGUUGGGUGUUUGUCUCGCCUCUGCGCGCAGACUCGCCUCAAAACAAUUGGCAGCCGGCGUAUUGAUUUCGGAGCGCAGUACAUCUCGCGCUUUGCACUCAUAACGACGACGUCCAAAAAGUACAUUUUUACACUCUUGACCUCGGAUCAGGUAGGGAUACCCGCUGAACUUA
rnacentral:misc_RNA from 1 species